AUGAAUGCUGGCGGCGUGCCUAACACAUGCAAGUCGAACGGUCCGGCGCAAGCCGGACAGUGGCAGACGGGUGAGUAAUACCUAGAAAAUCUACCCUCAACACGGGCAUAGCUCGCCGAAAGGCGGAUUAAUUCCCGAUAUGCUCACAGGUUGAAAUACCAGUGAGGAAAGUUUUGUCGGUUGAGGAGGAGUCUGGGUCCUAUCAGCUAGUUGGUGGGGUAAUGGCCUACCAAGGCGACGACGGGUAGGGGAUCUGAGAGGAUGUUCCCCCACAGUGGCACUGAGACACGGGCCACACUCCUACGGGAGGCAGCAGUUGGGAAUCGUUCACAAUGGGCGCAAGCCUGAUGACGCGACGCCGCGUGAAGGAAGAAGGCUUUCGGGUCGUAAACUUCUUUUCUCAGGGAAGAUACUGACGGUACCUGAGGAAUAAGGACCGGCUAACUACGU
rnacentral:rRNA from 1 species